rnacentral:rRNA from 1 species
CAGCGCCGCGGUAAUACAGAGGGUGCAAGCGUUAAUCGGAAUUACUGGGCGUAAAGCGCGCGUAGGUGGUUUGUUAAGUUGGAUGUGAAAUCCCCGGGCUCAACCUGGGAACUGCAUCCAAAACUGGCAAGCUAGAGUAUGGUAGAGGGUGGUGGAAUUUCCUGUGUAGCGGUGAAAUGCGUAGAUAUAGGAAGGAACACCAGUGGCGAAGGCGACCACCUGGACUGAUACUGACACUGAGGUGCGAAAGCGUGGGGAGCAAACAGGAUUAGAUACCCCUGUAGUCCCUGUCUCUUAUACC